AGUUGCGUAGGUGGCAUGUAAAGCGAACAGUGAAAGAUCACGGCUCAACCGUGGGUACAUUGUUCGAACUCACAAGCUUGAGCACGAGAGAGGUACCUGGAAUUCCUAGUGUAGGAGUGAAAUCCGUAGAUAUUAGGAGGAACACCGAUGGCGUAGGCAGGGUACUGGCUCGUUGCUGACACUAAGGCACGAAAGCGUGGGGAGCGAACGGGAUUAGAUACCCCGGUAGUCCACGCCGUAAACUAUGGAUGCUAGCUGUUAGGAGUAUCGACCCUCCUAGUAGCGAAGCUAACGCGUUAAGCAUCCCGCCUGUGGAGUACGGUCGCAAGACUAAAACAUAAAGGAAUUGACGGGGACCCGCACAAGCGGUGGAGCGUGUUGUUUAAUUCGACGGUAAGCGAAGAACCUUACCCAGGCUUGACAUCCUGCCAAGCUUUCCGAAAGGAAAGUGUGCCUUCGGGCCGCAGUGACAGGUGAUGCAUGGCCGUCGUCAGCUCGUGUCGUGAGAUGUUUGGUUAAGUCCAUCAACGAGCGCAACCCUUGUAGCCAGUUGGAUUUUCUCUGGCUAGACUGCCCCCGGUAACGGGGAGGAAGGAGGGGAUGAUGUCAGGUC
rnacentral:rRNA from 1 species